AGUGAACGCUGGCGGUAGGCCUAACACAUGCAAGUCGAACGAGUGGCGGACGGGUGAGGAAUACAUCGGAAUCUACUCUGUCGUGGGGGAUAACGUAGGGAAACUUACGCUAAUACCGCAUACCAUCGGAUGUGCCCAGAUGGGAUUAGCUUGUAGGUGAGGUAACGGCUCACCUAGGCGACGAUCCCUAGCUGAUCUGAGAGGAUGAUCAGUCACACUGGAACUGAGACACGGUCCAGACUCCUACGGGAGGCAGCAGUGGGGAAUAUUGGACAAUGGGCGAAAGCCUGAUCCAGCCAUGCCGCGUGUGUGAAGAAGGUCUUCGGAUUGUAAAGCACUUUAAGUUGGGAGGCGUUACCAGCAGAAUAAGCACCGGCUAACUUCGUGCCAGCAGCCGCGGUAAUAC
rnacentral:rRNA from 1 species